UCAAAUAUAGCAGCAGAGCAGAGGAAAUAAGCUCUUGUGAAGCUUGGAACUGAGUUUGGGUUCAGGCUUAGCAAAGCUGCCGUACAGAUCCACUGCAAAUGCAUCACAAAUGGAGAAAUAUGUGCUCCAGACGCUGAAUUCUGGGGGUUUAUCUCCCCUUUUUUCAGCUAGGUGCUCUGUAGCAGAGCAUCCUCUGCUGCGGGCAAAAUAAAUACAAUCCGCUAAUUGCCUUUGCAGUGCAACACUUGUACUUGAACCUUAAUGAAGUGACUGAUGCUGGAGCAGCAGGACAGACACAACCUCUGAUCCCCGUUGGCUCCUGCCACAAAUAAAGCAUCGAAGAAGCAUCUUCAGCGCAACCUCAGCUGACAGGCCGGAGGUUAAUGGAAACUUGAACCCAGGGCUCAGCAUCACGGUUUUGCCUCCAUCCAGCCCUCUGCAAUUAAAGCCGGAGGAGCAAAUGAAGAUGCUAAUGCAACAGGAAGUAAAAAUCCAUCAAGGGGUUUAAGGCUGCAAACAUCCCGCCUGGCUCGCUUUCAGGUUGCCUGACAGGCUAUAAUCUCCUCUUCUCCAAACAAUGGACAAUCUCGGAAAUGGCACAAAAUCACCAUCUGCAACUUUUGGGGAUGUUUUUUCUCCCCCGUCUGCUGGUGCUGGGAGGGGGAAUUUUCUCCUUUUUCCCCCCAAAAAAGAGUGUUUUCUGGGGAUUUUAAUGCACAUCAAAGCCUACAGCAGGUGGACCCAUCUGCUGCCCCACAGCUGUUUUAACUGGUUUAUAAUGGUUUUCAGAGGCAUUGGGCAGUGUAUUCUGGCUGUUUUGGCCUUUUUGGGCUAUUUUUGUCUUGUGCCUUAAGCAAAAAGGCCGUGGAAUAAGACAUUAUUAAAUUUGCUUCCUCCGGGCUGGUUUCUUCCCGUCUUUAUUUCCCUGUCGCUCUGAUCUCCCUUGAAACCAGCUUUAAGGCCGGUGGCUGUCCGAGCUUAAACUCUCACAAAGGCUUAUCCCCCUCGUCCUCCCGUUUCUGACAAGGCUUUCAAGCCACGCAACUGCUCCGUAUCUCACUCUUUUUCCUAGAUAAUGAGCUUAAUUACAGCCAGAUUUGUGUUCUCCACGCUGGUUUGGAGGAACUGGUUCUAUAUGUCGCUGGCUUCGCAUUCCACCUCCGUCUCUCCUCGGCUUUGGGCUUUGCUUGGAGCUAAUUAGUGACCGGGAGGGUGGAUGAUGAUGGUGUGAUACUGCGAGGUGGGCAGCUGGGGGAGUUUUGGGGUUAUUUUUGCAAACUGCACUGAGCAAAAAGCUCUUGCCGUGCUAACGGGAUGGUGGAGUGAUGGCUGUGCUGGUGGGCAAACCCAUAACGAUGUUUGAACCCCAUGGCAGACCCAUAAUGAUGCAGAUCCCAUGGCAAACCCAUAAUGCUGUAGAUCCCAUGACAAACCCAUAAUGACACUGAUCCCAUGGCAAAUUCAUAAAGAUGCUGAUCCUGUGGUGAACCCAUAACGAUGUUGAUCCUGUGACAAAUCUGUAAUGAUGCUGAUUCCAUGGCAAGCCCAUAAGGAUGUUGAACCCCGUGGCAAACUCAUAACAAUGUUGCACCCUAUGGCAAACCAAUAAUGCUGUAGAUCCCAUGACAAACUCACAAUGACACUGAUCCCAUGGCAAACCCAUAAUGAUGUUGAACCCCAUGGCAAACCCAUAAUGAUGUUGAUCCCAAGCACCUCAUUGGGAUACAGAGCCAUGAGCUGCAUCAAAACCUCACCCCAAACCUUGGAGAUGUUGGAUUGAUGGUCACACCACAGAGCAAAGCCAACCCAUGAUGUUGUUGACCUCAUGACAAACCCAUAACGAUGUGAUCCCAACCAUCCCAUCAUGGUCCAGGAGCACAUCCCUCAAGGAUGCCAAACAGCCAUUUGGUGGGACGAUGUCGUCCCCACCACACCCUUGACCUUUGGGAUGUCCAGCUCCACCCUCACAUGUCCUUGUGCUCUAAUUACUGUCACCGUGUUCUCAUUAAUGCUGGAGCCCCGACUAUUUCUCAGCACCGGCAUCCAAGCCGCGCACAGCUGCGAGGAUGUUAGCCGGUCCAUUCAUAAUUACAGGGCCAGAGCCCGCGUGAACAUCAAACCAUUAGUCUAAUUUGACUAUCUAACAAGGAGCUGUGAUGUUUUAUGCAUG